GAUGUCAUAAUGUGGUAUAGACUCAACAGUUAGAAUGUGUCCGUGUGGUGAUGUCAUAAUCAUAAUGUGGUAUAGACUCAACAGUUGGAAUGUAUCAGUGUGGUGAUGUCAUAAUGCGGUAUAGACUCAACAGGUAGAAUGUGUCAGUGUGGUGAUGUCAUAAUCAUAAUGUGGUAUAGACUCAACAGUUAGAAUGUAUCAGUGUGGUGAUGUCAUAAUGUGGUAUAGACUCAACAGGUAGAAUGUGUCAGUGUGGUGAUGUCAUAAUGUGGUAUAGACUCAACAGGUAGAAUGUGUCAGUGUGGUGAUGUCAUAAUGUGGUAUAGACUCAACAGGUAGAAUGUGUCAGUGUGGUGAUGUCAUAAUGUGGUAUAGACUCAACAGUUAGAAUGUGUCAGUGUGGUGAUGUCAUAAUGUGGUAUAGACUCAACAGGUAGAAUGUGUCGGUGUGGUGAUGUCAUAAUGUGGUAUAGACUCAACAGGUAGAAUGUGUCAGUGUGGUGAUGUCAUAAUGUGGUAUAGACUCAACAGGUAGAAUGUGUCGGUGUGGUGAUGUCAUAGUCAUAUUGUGGUAUAGACUCAACAGUUAGAAUGUGUCAGUGUGGUGAUGUCAUAAUGUGGUAUAGACUCAACAGUUAGAAUGUAUCAGUGUGGUGAUGUCAUAAUGUGGUAUAGACUCAACAGUUAGAAUGUGUCAGUGUGGUGAUGUCAUAAUGUGGUAUAGACUCAACAGGUAGAAUGUGUCAGUGUGGUGAUGUCAUAAUGUGGUAUAGACUCAACAGUUAGAAUGUGUCAGUGUGGUGAUGUCAUAAUGUGGUACAGACUCAACAGUUAGAAUGUAUCAGUGUGGUGAUGUCAUAAUGUGGUAUAGACUCAACAGUUAGAAUGUGUCAGUGUGGUGAUGUCAUAAUGUGGUACAGACUCAACAGUUAGAAUGUGUCAGUGUGGUGAUGUCAUAAUGUGGUAUAGACUCAACAGUUAGAAUGUAUCAGUGUGGUGAUGUCAUAAUGUGGUAUAGACUCAACAGGUAGAAUGUGUCAGUGUGGUGAUGUCAUAAUGUGGUAUAGACUCAACAGUUAGAAUGUGUCAGUGUGGUGAUGUCAUAAUCAUAAUGUGGUACAGACUCAACAGUUAGAAUGUAUCAGUGUGGUGAUGUCAUAAUGUGGUAUAGACUCAACAGGUAGAAUGUGUCAGUGUGGUGAUGUCAUAAUGUGGUAUAGACUCAACAGGUAGAAUGUAUCAGUGUGGUGAUGUCAUAAUGUGGUAUAGACUCAACAGUUAUAAUGUGUCUGUGUGUGUCUUAAUAGUAACACU